GACGUAGGGACCGAGCGUUGUCCGGAAUCAUUGGGCGAAAAGAGCGUGUAGGCGGCCACUUAAGUCCUGCGUGAAAUCUUGCGGCUCAACCGCAAGCGGUCGUGGGAAACUGGGUGGCUAGAGUGCGGGAGAGGAGAGUGGAAUUCCUGGUGUAGCGGUGGAAUGCGCAGAUAUCAGGAAGAACACCCGUGGCGAAGGCGGCUCUCUGGAACGCAACUGACGCUGAGACGCGAAAGCGUGGGGAGCAAACAGG
rnacentral:rRNA from 1 species